rnacentral:rRNA from 1 species
AAUGAACGCUGGCGGCAGGCCUAACACAUGCCAGUCGAGCGAGCAUUUCGGUGCUAGCGGCGGACGGGUGAGUAACGCGUGGGAACGUGCCCUUUUCUGCGGAAUAGUCCUGGGAAACUGGGGGUAAUACCGCAUACGCCCUUUUGGGGAAAGAUUUAUCGGAGAAGGAUCGGCCCGCGUUGGAUUAGGUAGUUGGUGGGGUAAUGGCCCACCAAGCCGACGAUCCAUAGCUGGUUUGAGAGGAUGAUCAGCCACACUGGGACUGAGACACGGCCCAGACUCCUACGGGAGGCAGCAGUGGGGAAUCUUAGACAAUGGGGGCAACCCUGAUCGAGCCAUGCCGCGUGAGUGAUGAAGGCCUUAGGGUUGUAAAGCUCUUUCAGCUGGGAAGAUAAUGACGGUACCAGCAGAAGAAGCCCCGGCUAACUCCGUG